GAGGUGUGCUCUCAAUAUUUCUAGACAGAAGGCUCGUACGUGGGCCUUUGGGUCUGUGUUUCCUACAUAUUCGGGGAAUUUUAAUUUUCCAAUGUGAUGCAGCCUUACGCUGGCGAUUAUGUUUGUAAAUAGAGUCCUUUUGGCUUCUUCGAUGACCAUGUCGAUAUCUGGGGCAGAGCUCGUUGCCAUAUGUACGAUCGCAUGUAUCCUCUUGAGCUCGGCAUCAUUCCUCUCGAUAUAAUUCCGGAAUGCUCCGGUUUCACUCGGGAUCCCUAGGUCUUCCCAUUGGGGAUCGAUAUUGACGGGACCGCGA
rnacentral:lncRNA from 1 species